GAUCAUGGCUCAGGGUGAACGCUAGCUACAGGCUUAACACAUGCAAGUCGGGGGGGCAGCAUGGUCUUAGCUUGCUAAGGCCGAUGGCGACCGGCGCACGGGUGAGUAACACGUAUCCAACCUGCCGUCUACUCUUGGACAGCCUUCUGAAAGGAAGAUUAAUACAAGAUGGCAUCAUGAGUCCGCAUGUUCACAUGAUUAAAGGUAUUCCGGUAGACGAUGGGGAUGCG
rnacentral:rRNA from 1 species